UACAGAGGUCUCAAGCGUUGUUCGGAUUCAUUGGGCGUAAAGGGUGUGUAGGUGGCGCGCUAAGUCGGGUGUGAAAUUUCGGAGCUUAACUCCGAAACUGCAUUCGAUACUGGCGUGCUUGAGGACUGGAGAGGAGACUGGAAUUCAUGGUGUAGCAGUGAAAUGCGCAGAUAUCAGGAGGAACACCGGUGGCGAAGGCGGCUCUCUGGAACGCAACUGACGCUGAGACGCGAAAGCGUGGGGAGCAAACAGG
rnacentral:rRNA from 1 species